rnacentral:rRNA from 1 species
UACGUAGGGUGCGAGCGUUGUCCGGAAUUAUUGGGCGUAAAGAGCUUGUAGGCGGUUUGUCGCGUCUGCUGUGAAAUUUCGGGGCUCAACCCCGAACUUGCAGUGGGUACGGGCAGACUAGAGUGUGGUAGGGGAGACUGGAAUUCCUGGUGUAGCGGUGAAAUGCGUAGAUAUCGGGAAGAACACCUAUGGCGAAGGCAGCUCUCUGGGACGGUACUGACGCUGAGACGCGAAAGCGUGGGGAGCGAACAGG